rnacentral:lncRNA from 1 species
GCUCACAGUGAGAUUAUCAGAACAGAACCCAAAUAGGGGUUCUUAUAUUCUCAUUUAAUUUACACAUUACAGUUAAAUAAGAUGAGCAAAAUAUAGCUGUAAAAUACAAAACUGAUCUCUUAAAGCAACUAAGACGUGCAUAUUAUAAUAUGUUGCCGACCUUCUUCAAUGUAAAUUACCAUGAUCAUGAUUCAGCUUCAGAAACGUUUGUUCUUUGCCUUUGUAACAAGUUUGUUGUUGAGAAUUCACUGUCAUCGUUAGAUGAGCCGACACUAGAUAGAGCUGAAUUGGAGAUUGAGCUUGAUACUGAGUCAGGUGUUUGUACUUGACUUUUGAAUAUCUGAGAAUCUGAACGAUGUUGUUCUGUUGCUUCAGGGGCUGGAUUCCCUUGAGCUUCUUCCGCAAGACGUUUAAGAAGGUUCAUAACUGUGGGAAAAACCUUUGACGAAAUGGACAGUAACCCAGGCAGCUGUGAACAAAAUAUGCACAGGCAGAAAGAAAUAAAACAGUGCCAGUCAUGAUGAAUUUUGCGCCUCUAACGGUGUGUGAUGUGUACAGAAAAGCGAUCACAAUGAAUUUUGGAAAAUAGAAGAGAAAAAUCCACUCUACUCACAGUGCCAUGUCGAAACUCUCCAGCUACGUCCAUUUGAACCCAAAGUGCCUUACCGAGUAGAUAGGCAACAAAUAAACCCAAUAUGAGGAGAGGGUUUCUGUUUCAGAAUCAGAAAAAUGUAAUUAUUAAAUUGAUGGAAAAAGGGUCAAAAAUACAAAAAAAAAAAAAAAAAAAAAAAAAAAANAAAAAAAUCUCAAUUCAACAUUCGAAGUGGUAUUUACUUUAAAAGCAUCAUAAAUUCAUUGAAACCAAAUAUGGCCAUUGCCACUAUUGUCCAUGCAGGAGGUAACCAAUUGUUAUUCCGUUUGUAGGCCUCCUGAAUCAAGAACAAAAAAGUAAAUAGCAAAUUUGUUAGUAUAUCCCAGAUCAGAUUUGUUACAAGGCAAAGAGAAAGGACAAGAAUGCAUUUUCAACAAAAAAAAAAAUGUGUAGCCUACAGCCGAGUGAAACAAGAGUUAAUGAAUGGGAAAAAAGCCGGAAUCUAGUAGCUUGCACCAUUCUCAUAUUAACAGCAAGAAAUACUCCAACUAAACCGGUAUUAUCAUCAAAAUGGACAAGUGAAAUGCAACAAAAAUCAGAAGGUAGCAGCAAAGGAUGCAGAUGGAUCAAAACCUUUGAACCAAUAUCAUAAAUACUAGACUGGAUUGACAGAUUGACCAUGAAUCAGCUAUGUAUCUGGUUCAAUAAUCCAAUUAAACCUAAAAUUUAAAUAUUCGACUAGUUAAAGCAGUCGAGUCAAAAACUGAAUUUUGCAAGUUUAAUUUCUAGUUUAGUUUUCAAAACACUGCUCGAGACAGACGAGGCAAUUGACACAGUUGAUUGUUUUCAACGACAAAAUUUCAUACACAUUUUAUAGAACAAGGACUUUGAAACAAGCUUGUUAUCUGCGGAAGAUUGCUUGCAUGGAUUACAUGGAUUAUUGGACUUGCAUGAUCAUUAAGUGUUGCAUUAAUUGCAUUUCUGUUUUUGUAUCUAAAAAUUCAUCAAUAAGAAUUUUCCCGCUUGGUUGCAAGUUCAUAUUCCUUAAGGCUUUAGAAGCUCUAUUACCAAGUCAAUUAGUACUGUUUAUCCCAAGAGCUUAUGCUGUUAGGCUAAAGCAUAUAAAUAGUUUGCUGUCUCUAAUUGCAGAGAAGUUGGCCAAAACUGCAGACAAAUUCAUUUAUUAAAGGGUGAGCGGAAAACAUAGACAGGAAAGUAAUCUAAUAGUUUUACCUGAGCUGCAAUAGCUUGUGUAAUUGUAUACUCAGUUUCACCUUGAAAUUGUCUCCACAAAGACUUGCACUGCACUGGCGAGAUAAGUACAUCUCCAGGAGAAACCUACAUUUAUAUAGAUUCUCACAUUAAAAAAUAAAUAAAAAAACUCUGACAGCAACAUUAGUAGAAGCACAAAUAUCACACACAAUAUAGUACCUCCUCCCAUGUGCUUGAAGCCAGUGGAUCCACGGAAGCUUCUUUGUCUGUAUACUGGGUAGAUGUUGCAGCACUGGUUUUGUUUAUGAGAGACAACUGAAGUACUCUGUCAAUUUGAUCUGGCUUCUCAUCCAAGCGUAUAGCAGCCAUAUCCGAUAGAAGUUUCAGCGACUGUUACAUGGCAAAACAUAUUUUACAUGGUGAUUAAAAAGAGUUCUGAUUACGAUAUAAUUUCAAGUAUGAGCGAGUUGAAAGAUUCAUUGAGCUAGCUAUCAAUUACCGCAGAGCGGGCAUCUUUUGUAAUAGCUCUGAUAUCUUCAUUCCCAGUCCAAACUCUAGGGAGUGAAUCAUUGUCAUGAUUAAACACGGUAGAGAACCUGAAAAUUAUUAUAGAAACCAGUGAGCCACAAAAAUAAAUCAGAAAAUUAAUAACAUCCACCUGGAAUAGUGCAAUUUAUUUCAUCAUAACAGAAAAGGUACAGGUACAAUAAAGAGCACCCUCCAAAAUAAACAAAUGUAAAUAACUAACCAUGAAACCUUAUCUCAUUUCGUGGAUCAGCUAAGAUACCAAAACCUUAACCAUUAUUAUAUCAUUUAAAGCAAGGUCUUUUCAAUGUUUCCCCAAAUGUUGUGUUUCUCUCUACUGCUUUUAACAAGUUUUAAGUGCAAAUCUCUGUUUCUCUGCAUGCCUCACAAAAAAAUGCUUAGAAAGCACAACAUUCAAUGAACAAAUUAAAACACCCAAACAACUUUUCCCUAAAAUAAUAACCUAUAGAAACUUGUGCUUCUAGCAUUACAUUCCAACAAAAGACAACAAUGAAUACAAAGAGAGUAGACUGUCAGUAGUAGUACAAAUCUCCAGUUCCCAAACUUUAAAAUCAAUCAAACUUUACUCCCCCUUUAUUCCGUUAAUUGUUCAGUUCUACCAUAUUGAGCAAAUGAAUGACUGUAGACAUCUUUUCAACGACAUUACCUAUCUUUCAUGCGAAUCAGAACCUUUCCAGCUUCUUCUCGUGCUUUAUUCUCCACCAAUUUUCUAGCGUAAUCUCUUAAGCCUUGUUGCAUUUUUUCAACAGUUUCUUCAUCCAGCUCAAAACCAGCAAUGCGAUCUAAAAAUUCUGAUACAGCAGCUUCAGUUUCGCGUUUAAGAAGUCUUCUUACUGAAAGCCAUGUGUCCUUUCCUCCUGCUUCAAAGAGAGACUCUACAGGCUCAGCCAAUGCCUUGGCCAGUUGUUUCUGCAAAAGGAUAUGGCUUAGUGGUUGACAAAGAUAUUGCAGACACUAAUAAUACAUUUCUCUACUCAACCAAUUAACCUAACAUAGUGACAACAAUGCAGUUUUAGUAACAAUAUCAUUAGAAAGUUGGAAUAGUUCUUGUAGAAAAGAUGCUAGAGUCUUAUUUUAGGUGAUUUAGACAUGUAGGAAAGACUUACAGAAGCAUGUGUAAUGUAAAGAAGGUUACUUAACAGAGAGUAGUCCAAUUGAUAGUAGAGAAGAUCAAGAGAAACAAAGGUCAUACUACUAAGGCUCUGUAUGGUAAAUUCAAGAAGCUAGCUUAUAACUUAUUGGACUAGCUUAGAGCACCCACAUUCAUCAUCCCCACUUGGGUUCUUGAAAUGGGUCCCACUCAAUUUUUCAUAUUAUAUUACACUUUCAGAUUUUCUAAACAACUCAACUACAUUUUUCAAAUAUUCUUACAACACAUCAAAAACUCUAAAAUGGGUCCCACCAAAUCCCACAAUAUUAUUACUAUUGGCUUAAUAUUGCACAUGUGGCAACAAAUGUAAGUUAAAGAACGUUCUCUUAUGAGAGAACAACAUGUUCACAUGUAGUAACUUUUUUCUUUUCAAUUAUCCAAGUAUUUGAACCCAGUUUUCUUAACUCUGUAGGAACGGCUAUGUGUCAGCCGAUACUUAUGCUCUUAGAAGCUUGUUUGAUCAAAAGAAAAGUGUUCAGUAAACUAGUUUAUCUCACCAGCCUAUAGCGUUUUUUAGAUACUCCUUGAAGAAUCAUUUUUACCCAAUAGCAUAUAAGCUUAUAGUAUAAUUAUUAUUGAAACAAAUUUAUAGCAUAACUAUAAAUGUCAUUUUAUCUAUUUAAUUUAAUAAAUAUAUUUAAAAAUGAGAUUAAACAAAUAAUGUGUAUAUACACACACACACAUAAUACAAAGAAUUUAUGUAAAAAGUAAAAUAAACAAGUCCUUUCAUGUCAUUUUAUCUUUAUCACUUAAUUAAAUAAUUAAAUUUACUAAACACUAAUUUCAAUUGACUAACUUCCCAGAUAUAUAAGCUAUCAACUAGCAUAUAGCUUACAGCCUAAGAGAGAUUCAAAGCUUAAUGGUCAGGCAUCAAUGCCCACCAUUGGAUACAUGUACCCAGCCCAAAUAGUGGAAAAAGAUUUUGAUGAUGAUUGUACCGACGACAAAAUUAUUACCUCAAAAUUAGUUGUUAUCUCCAAUAAUUUUGCAUCGCGCACAAAUAAAGCAUGUGAAUCAAUAUCACGACGAAGCUUAUCUCGCAAUUUUGAAGCACCCCAAUUAGCCUGCCUUACAGAUGCGUCUGAAAAAUGCAAAUAAUGAUAAAACAAAACAACAAAUAAGAAUGAGCAUUUAUAUAAAACGGUUUACAUGAUGACCAAGGCAAAUUAGCAACUCCUUACGAAGUAAAACCAUGCAAGAGAGAAUAUGCUCCUUUAAAGAAAGCUAACGAAGACAUAUUACGAAUGAACAACUUAUAUCAUGAAUUCUGAGAUGAAGAAAGACUGGAGUAAAGGUGGCAAUGUUCUUUCUUUCCUUUCAUUUAUAUAUGACCAUGAAAAAAAGAUAGCGCACUUAUAAAAGCAAAUCAGGAGCCAGACUUUCUAUAUCUAUGAAAUUGAAGAUUCAUAAAUUCCUAAAGAUUCUGCUUCAAGAUUAAAUAAUGAAAUUCAUACCACAUUACACAAAAUGUAUAAAUAGUGUAAAGUAAAAAUAAUAGUCACUUGGGAAUGGCCAAAUGACACCUGAUAUAAAUUUAAGAAAAUGUAUAUGCCAUUAUGAAGAAUCCUAUCUGAUUAUUACCAGCAGAUCCUUUAUCAAACCCGAGCAAAAUAGAAUGAGUCAAUGUUUGAACAGAUGAAGCAAAUCCUUCUCCAUUGUUUAGUGAUUGAUCUAGCUUAGCCUUAAAAUCGUCUAAAGCUUUAGAGCGUAGAAGCCCUAUCAUUGUUGUAUAAGCAGGGUGCACUAUCUGAAAAGUUGAAGCAAAAAAACAAAACUUAAAUGAAAAGUUUAUGCUUUAAGAAAGAAGAUCUAGGAUGCAAUUUUCAAGGGCAUUAUCAUAGGCCAUUAUAUGAAGAUUCCAAGAACAUUUUGAAACACAUAAUACAUAAUAUCUUAAAAUAUUUACACAUAUUUUAAUUAAAGAAAGGAGUUUUUUCUUUAUAUAAUAUACCAACAGGUCCUUCCCGUACAUACUCACUCCUUUCAAAAUCUCUUGCCAAUAAUAUUUCAGCAUAAUCCAAGGUGGUUUUUUGUUAUUUUUUCAGAUCAAUAACCAACCAAAGCAAGUGCAUGUUGAACAGAAUAUUGCUUCAUUAUCGAUGACAUAUAUUUGUAUUUGUACUCAUUUACUCUAAACUUAGGGUUAUGGAAUGUAGUCCUACAGAAUCAUGGAAAGGUAGAAUGAAUCAACAAGUUGGGAUGCUACUAGGAAUCAACGAGUUGGGAACGUCUUUCUGAUGGUAUCCCCUAAAGGCUAAAGCAAAGCACCCCACAGUUUUUUUGUCCCCAGAUCUGGUUGAGGAGCAGAGGAUACCAUCAGAAGCAGCAAGAGAUUAUUUGAGGAGGUGGGCGGCAGUCUACAUUAAGGAAGUCAAGGGGUGCUAAGACGAAUGGGAUUAUAGCUGCCAAACCUGAAAAUGGUUCAGGAUAUUUUUUCUUAUUUGAAUUGGUGGGUGUCAAUGUCAUUUUAUUCCAAGACUAGGAGAACCAAUAAUCAAGUGGGUCCAUUUGCCCCCAAAAUUUGAAGGCGGUAUUGUGUUGAUAGUCUUUGUUUGGUACUCUGCAAAGCAUGAUUUCAAGGAGUUCCAUUUCUGAUCUACCGAAUCGGAAGGAUAGUUUCAACUUUAAGCCUCUUUGGCUCUGUUUUCCAUAUUGGGUUUUUUAAAGAUGUUUUGUUCUGCACCCAGGCAUACUUCUGCACUUCUCUAUGCCCAACAUAGCUAUUUAAAUUUUUUUUAAAAGUACUUAUUUAAGUUCGCGUGAUGUUUUAAAAGAGGCUUGGAUUUAUUUCAAACAGUCCAAUCCAAAGUUGCUUUAUCAAAAUUCAGUCCUAAUGGAUCAUAAGCCAAAACUAAAUAUGAAUAACGCCUUACAUCCAACGCAUUUGAUUCCAAUUGCUUCCGUUUUGCUUUUCUCACAGCUUCAUCAAAGAAGAUCGUCUCCUCAUCAUAUCUGUUGAAAACAUGUAUUAUCACCAUACGAAAAUAAAAUUAAAAAAUGAAACAUUUGGAGACAAUUAAAUAAUUUUUAAAAAAAAAUCUAUUAUAUGCCAAACUAAUACCCUCAAUAUCAAAUAGUUCUAUAGGUUCUAAUGACUAGUAACAUCCUUGCAAGGACAAAUACAGAUUAAAGUAACACAUUCAACGAAUCCCAUUUUCUCACCUUUUAUUGGGAGUCUUAUCAAUCAAACAUAUAUCUUUUGACACAAUUGCAAGCAAAACUUACCAAAGCUCCAAACAAGGUAAAGAAAUUUGCCAAAAAAAAAACAUCCCAAUUCAAUUCCAAUAAUUAUUACACUUCUUCACUGACGCAUAAACAUACACAUCAGUUAUUAGGUGAGGAGAAAUUUUGAUUUAACUCAGAAACUAAACAUCAAAUCAAGUAGUUACUGAGCACAGGUUUAUUUUGAGAAUGAAUAAUUAAGUCUACCAGCAUCUGGAACUUACAGAGAAAAGUAAGUGUCAAUAAUGGAGCUCAACGCUUCCCCAAAGCCUUGUACUGGACCUACUUGAACCGCUUUCUCCAACUCCAGCCAACCCUAAGCCAAAUUCAUUCAUAUGGUGAUUGAUUUUUAAAAUAACUGAUGGAACUUAGAUGGGUGAAGUAGAGGAGAUAUAGAUCAACACCUUAUCGGAACGUAGGAGAUCAAGCUUUUCAUUAGCAAUCUCUUCACAACGCACAGUUGCAACCAUUACCUGUUAUAAAAUGCAAAUCCAUAAGAAAUCCACGCCACUACUGCAUCAAAAUAUCAAAUUAUUGGGAAGAUAAACCAUUGUAACAUCCGAAAAUGAGAUAAUUAAAAACCUUAUGAGCUGGGAGAUCAAGAUCCUUGUUCUCUCGUAUGACUUUCCAUAUAUGUUGUGCACUAAUAGAAAAAGCAGAUGCGGGCACAACACCACGACGAUCACCAGCGAGACCUCCAGGUGCUAUAGAAUGGUAGAAACGUUGUCGUAAUUGAGCAACCUGUAUGAAAGUAACAAUGUGAUAUCGUAAUAAGAUAAAAGUCAGGAUUAAGACGUUUUGAUGCAAAUAGUUUCAAAAAAUCAUUAUGGGCAUGUGUAUUUAUAGCCAAAAAAUUGUAAAUCUGGAUAAACAUAUUUAGAAGCAAUGGGAAUUAGAAAUCCUUCUAGAAUUAAAUAGAAAAGUUUAACAAACUCCUUAAAGCAAAGUAAAAUCUCAUGAAAGGGUACCUCCUCUUUGAAUUUAUCCUCUUUGUCCUCGUAGCUUGACAAAGCAGUAACCUCCACCUUCAAAUUAAGAGUCAUUAAUCAUAUGCCAUAACAUAUACAUAAACAAUUAAACAAGCAUGUGAAAAAGGAGAAAUAGAUAGAUCUUCUUACAUUAAAAAAUUCACUAAGAGGAGUGUGUACAUGAGCUUGAGGUUUUGGAACUGCAUCCCAAAUCUGAGGAAUUCAUAUCAUGUUCAAAAAUGAUGAUGAAUGAAAUAAGAAGCCAAAUAAAUGAAAAACUAAGAAAUUAAAUGAAAUAAACACCUUUUGGAUAUCUUCUCUUAGAAUAGGCUCCAAAUUUUCCAGUGGAGUCUGUGUAUAGAGCAAGAAACGUGAUAAAUCAUUGAAUAGUAUAGAAGUAUAGAACAGGACGCAUUCUCAAUAAAGGAUAAAGUGUAUAGACCUUUGUUUUAUCACGUAUAACAAAAAGCAAUGUUGUCUUUCGAGGGCUAAAUAAGCGCAUCAUGACCUAAAAUUAAAAGAAAGGUCAAAGUGUAUAAAUUUAAACAUUGAACUCCAAACGGGCAAAUUCAUGGGUGCAAACUACCUGAAAAACUGUUUUUAAAAGAGGUUUGUUGGCUGCUUGCUCACGACCAAUAUCAUGACACCACCUGUCCAUAAAAUAAAAGGCAGCUUAGACAUAAAUUUUUAUGUGCUGUUUUUACUUUACUCUAAUUACAAUUCGGGUUUAUGUAUCUAAUAGUAUCAUUAGGACAAGUUUGAAUUUAAAGUCAAGUCAAAAAUCUAAUCCACGUGGUACAUUAUAAUUAACAUAAACAGCACCUAUACAACAAUUCUUAAGUCUUAUCCUAAUAUAAAUCUUCAAGGGGUCCAAAAUGGAAUUGUCAGUAUAAAGACUAUAAGUCUAUAAGUCAAUUAUAAGCAUACAUAACCCAAGAAAGAAGGCUUCUUUUAGUUUCUAGUUUCUGAUUAAUUUUGAUAACUAAUUAGGCCCCAAAGAAAGGAAGCAGGAAAAAGGAUUUUAAAGGUGCACAGAUGACAAUGCUGCAGAAAAUACAAAAGGAAAAUGCCAUUAUGUAUAUCAUCUACUUCCACACCUUGUAUUAUGAAUAUACAACACUAAAUUUCAUCCUACAAUCACUAGUAUACAAUGUCAAUGAUCCCAACUGUCAAGUAUAUAAGUUACAAGCAAGAAUAUAGCAAACAUCAAUUAUACCAAGUUAGACAGAGAGAUUCGUGAUUCCACCUAGACAUAUAUCAAGCUAGACUCUAAGGACUGCAAGAAAAUAAUGUUGGAACUUGGAAGUAAAGUUGCUUAAAAACUUAAUAACUAACCAUGAAGCCUAAAUUUAAAGGAUCAUCCCAUAAUUUCAUUCAUUUUAUCAAUUAUAAAGCACCAAUCUAGGCCUAAAAACUUACAUGUUUAUCAGAACAAUAUCGGAUACUGCCAAAGCGAAAAGAGCACUCUGCUUCUCAAAUGCAGUAUCAUCCUGAGAUAUAAAUUAAAAGAAAACAAUAGUGAGUCAUAAUGUACAUGAAACAAAGAGAUACAACAGCUCAAAAAUAUCAAAUAUGUAAAUAGCGCUUAAGAGACAAAUAUGCAAACAGGCUUGUCAGUAAAGUGAAGCUAGAACAUCCAUAAGAAGUUAACAAAAUUUGGCUAUACUAACAUGCGUCAACACUAAACACCUGAUGACAACUUAUAGUAUUGUCUUAUACUGGCAAGUCAGUCCUAUCUGGUAUUUUAAAGGCAGCUUAAAAUAACUAAUAAACCACUAAACCAAACUAUUAACUCCAUCCCUAAAUAUAUGACCCUCUUGACAAAAUUAUAGGAGUUAAAAAAGUUGUUGGUGGUAUUAAAUUUGUGAUAACUGAUAUUGUUUUUACAAGUUUAAUUAUAGGAAUUAAAAAAGUUGUUGGUGGUAUUAAAUUUGUGAUGAUUGAUAUUGUUUUUACAAGUUUAAUUAUAGGAAUUAAAAGAGUUGUUGGUGGUAUUAAAUUUGUGAUAACUGAUAUUGUUUUUACAAGUUUAUCCUUCAAGAGAAAGAAUUAGUUCCCCUCACAGUAUUUAUUGUUGAUUGUAGAAAAAAUGUAAAAUAAAUAGAAGUAUAGUUAUAAAGAAAUAACUAAUGUAGUUGAAAUUUAAAGAGUCUUAUAAGAGGCAAGAAAAAUUCUCAAGAGGGUCUUAUAUUUUGCGACGGAGGUAGUAAUUAAUGUAGUACAUAAAACCAUGGUUAUCAGGAUCUGAUGACACAUGUUAAUCAUAUCUCUAUUUGAUACAAAGCUACAUCCAAUCAAUACAAUCUCUAGUGUGUAUCUAUUUUGAACAUGAAUCUCAUCUUGAAUUCCGAAAAAAAAUUAUGAAUUAUGAUUCAUUCUAAUGAAUCACUGCGUAAACUUAGUGCAGUCAACCACUUUCUCAAUUUUGUAUAGCCAAGCACUUUCCUUUUGUCUUUUGUUAUGCCUUGAAUCAUUUUGAGGCGAGUAGAUUAUCUAUCAGCUUAUAAUUUUGUUAUGUCACUUGCUUUUACUUUAAAAUGACAUAUUUUAUCGGUAAUGCAUCUUGCGAUUCAUAAUAAGAUUUGAAUCUCGAUUUCGUAAUCAAGCAUAAAUGAUAUCGAUAGCAGGGUAUGAAGAAAUGUCUAGAAUAGAAUCUAUUACCUCACCCCUCUCCCUUCCAUCAGUACCCUCUAAAUCCAUAGCAAUAGUGCACGGCUCAAUUCCAGUACACUUAGCCAUCCAAAUACCCUUGGUAGUUUGAGAUCUGCAACAGCACGAUAUCCAAGAAAAACAAAAAAAGCAUUCAGUAUUUCAGUUUUCAUCUCUCCCCUUCAAAUGCUAUUUUCUCUAACCACAGCAAUAACUCAAUCAAUUCAAAAACCUAACCUUCCCCUAAAAGCAUCCAUCUCCCUAAAAGAAGUGUUGAAAAGAUGAUUCAUCAAAGUGCUCUUCCCUGCUCAAGCAACAAAAUCAAACCACAAGUUUAGAUCACACAACAAAAACACAACCGUUACAAAAAAAAUACAAAAACCGCAUAGUAAUAAAAAUUCACUUUCGCCACAAGUCACUUCAAUCAAAUCAAAAACCUAACCGAAAAUUUAUUUUCACUUGAAUCACCAACUUAAACGCAAACUAAACUCAUCGAUCCAACUUAACAAGUUCAUAAUUACAUAUUCCCUCAAAAAUAAUAAUAAAUUCGCAAAAAAAAAAANAAAAAAAAAAAAAAAAAAAAAAGAUAAAUCGAAAUCAGCAAAUAGCAGAAGACGAAAACUAAAUUGAAUUCAAAAAAAAGAAAAAAACUGACCGCUACUUUGAGGUCCCAUGAUAGCAACGACGGCGUAAGAAAGUCCACAUGCGGCCAUAUUUGAAGUCUUGAUGAAAUUAUCGAGACCGGAGACGUUGAAGACUCCGUCACCGUCAAUGAGUUGCGUGGCGCAGCAAUCAACGGUGGUUGUUCCCAUGAUGAUGAUGGAAGAGGAGUUUCGAAAUUUGGAUCUCGAAUUUGGUAUUGCAAGUUACUGUAUAUACUUUGAUUGUGGUGUGACUCUUGUGUAGAUGCUGCCGCAAGCAAAAUACAAGAAAUACGCGAGACUCUGUUGGUUUCUUCUAUUUGACUGGUUUACAACUACACGUGCUAAUCACAUUCAAUUAACCAACCCAUACUUUUUUUUAGGAGUAAAAUAUAGAAUUUUUUAAACACUCUUCGGAUUACAUUUAAAUUUAAUAAUGGUCUACAAAGAGUUUAAUUGUAUUUAUAGUAUCAAUAUAUAAAAGUUAUUUAAAUAAAUUCAAAUAUAAAACAAUUUUUUUAAAAAAAUUAACAUCGUAUUAUAAAAUAAAUAAGAUUCAUUUAAAAUGACUUUUUAUGUAUUCAUUUUCUUUUCUUUAGUCUCUAAAUCGAAUUUAAACAUGUGUUGUUUAAAAUUUUAAUCAUAGAUUUUAUCCUUUUGGUGUAUAUUUAUUUAAUCUAAGUUUAGGUAUGUUUCAAAACUCAAAUUCUACUUAACCUAUAUUAUAAGAUAAGAUACAAAUACAUGAAAUAAAAUGAUAUAUUCGUUUUUUUACACAUUUUAUACUUUGUAAUGUGUAAGAUAACGUAUGCUUGUCGUAAAACAAUGAAUAAGAGUUUCAAUCAAUUUAAUAAUUGUUUUUCUUCUAUUAAAUUGACAUUGAAAGACUUUGAUGUAAUUAAUUAUAUAAUAGAAUUUUAAAAUACACAAUUAGUAUAUUUAAGAGGUGUAUUUACAAUCAACAAAGUGUUUAUUAGAUGUGAUGAUUCAUUGAAAUGAGCUAGAAAACUUGGAUAUGAAAUGAUGUUGUUCUUAUGAAUUAUAUAUUUAAAAGAGAUGUAAUAAAAUAUAAAAUAAAGACAAGGUUAAUUCUCAAUUGUGUAAAAAGAGUAUAAGCCUUGAAAACCCCUAAACAUACGAGGUCUUAAAGGUAUUCCCUCAAUUUAAAAUGCGUGAGUGUCUCAUUAGAUUAAUAGGAAUAACUUUAUUGGAGGGUGAAAAAUGAACUCUCCUAGUAGAGUAUGAUAUUCACAAUAAUGAUUUGUAUGACCUAUUGACUUGUAAUUCACUUUUUGGUCAAUUAGUUUAUUCUUAUUAGGGGAAAAUUGUCGUGUAACAGAGGGUCGAGAGUCAACGAAUAAAGUUAAUAUUCUAGAAGAAAAUAUGAAAGACAUCGACAACGAGGAUAAAAUAUAAUAUAAUGUUUGUCUAGCAGUGCAGGGUUGUAUGAAAUGGUGAAUUCCAUAGUGUAUCCUAUUUGUACGGGUAAUUGAGACAAUAGAUUUUUCUGACACAUAUUACAUAUUGGCCAACAUUCAACUAAAUAUCAACUAACAAGUACAAACUUGACGAGUCACUUGCAUUUUAUCGCUUUUACUUUACUGUUAUUUAAAUUAAACUGUCAAUUUUACCAUAUUUAUUUAAUUUUCAAGCAUCCCAAAUCUUAAAACUAUUAUCAACCUCUAAAACUAAUUUAUAGAUAUUUUAAAAAUUACUCUAAAACGAGAAAGAUAUGAUAUAAGUGUAAGGCAAAACCUCGUUAUUUACUACUUCAAAAUUUAUUUGUGUUUCAAAUUUGGUAUACUAUUCUUAGACUGAAAAUACCAGUAAACAAAGAAUAUGGUUAAACUAAGAAAUAUAUUGAUGACAUUUAGGCUUUGUUUGGAUUGAUAGAAUCGGAUGGAGCGGAGCAGAAUGGAAUGAUAUUCCAUUGUUUGGAUCGUUUAAAAUUUGAUGGAGCAAAGUGAAAUUGAGUGGUAUGGAUUCCAUUUCACUUUAUCACUUACUACCAUAUUUCUUCUCCUCCAAUUUGGACGGAAUGAACAACUUGCCUUAUUCCGUUCUAAAAUUUCUAAACAAUGAAAUGAGACAUUUGUUCCGCUCCGCUUCAUUUCGCUUCAUCUCACUCCGCUCCACUUUAUUCCGCUUCGUUCAUUUUAUGAUAUCCAAACAUAACCUUAAGGAUCACAAUGCAUAGAUUUUAACUACCAUGAAGAAAAUUUAUAAUGAAUGUCGGGUACAUCGUUAGUUCAUUAAGGAAAAUAACAUUGAAAUGCAACAUCUCGUGUUGUUGAUGAAACGUGAUAAGUAUGUGUAUCAGUAUAGAAACGUGGAUGAUUUUGAUAAGAUGUGGGAUAUAUUAUUGGCACAUCUUAUGAAUAUAAUUCACUUAGUGUUAUUAUGGAUAGGGCACAUAUAGUUUACAAGUAUUUAUUGUUAUUACUUAAGAUUGUCGGUGUUACCUUGAUCAAUCUAAGUGUGUUUAUAACCGUGUAUAUGCAAUACAUAUAUUCAAUGGAGUUUUAUUAUUUUCAAUUCGGUUGUGUUUACAAUUUUGUAUAUGCACUAAGUAUAUUUAAAGAACAAUUACAUGCGGUGAUGGUCUUCUCAUUGUUAUUGACUGAAUAAUUGCUUUGAUGAAUUUAUAUAAGUUCUUUUUCUCGAUAAGUCAAACUUGUUGUAUCUAUUUCACGUAUGCAAUAAUGUGAAAGUCAAAUUCAAUUUGAUUGUAUCUCUGAUAGAGAAACAAAAAAUUGUGACAUCUAAGUGUGUGGUAUAUGAUUUUUAUGAAAUUGAAAAACAACAAAAAUGAAAGUAUUCAAAGAUAUUUGUAUUAAUUGUGCCAAUUUUUAUGAUUAUGUACAUGAAUAGUUAGUGAUUCCUCAAAAUGAAAUGUUUUUGGAGGCAUAGGCACACAAGUUUCUGCAUUUAGGAAACACAACAACAAAUAAGGUUAAGUUUACACAUUACAGUUUGAAAAAGAUAUGGCAAGAUAGAAAGAUGGACGUAUAUAGUGUAUGAGUAUUUUUCUAUAGUAUGAUCACACUACAGUAUAAUGAGAUAAAACCUUCAUUUGAAAGUGUCGUAUCCUAAAUAUUGCCACCUUGUUUUUUAUUUUAUUUUUUUAGCAUUUAAAAAAAAUGAUCAAAAGUGUUAGUUAGUUCAAUUGGUAAUUAGUUUUUAAUUAUUGCGCUCGUCGGGGUUUCAAAAUCUUGUGCCUACGUAUUCCCAAAGUAAAAUGAGAAGCCAGAGCUUCGUAUUUCAUAUAAAAAUAUUUGUGAGUUGAUUGCUUUUAGAGAAUAGUGUUACAUCGCAUUUUAGCGGUUAAACAUUUGUCUGUAUGGUCACACGAUGAAGGCUUAGGCAUUGUUUGUAUUCACAUUAAAUGAAUCAGACUAUUCUUUUAUGAAAAAAAUUGGUUUAAGAGUGCAAGAGCAAAAAAAUAAUUUGAUGGGUUAAGAUUAAUUUUAUUGUGAAAAAAAAAGAUUUUGUUUUUUAUCUUUGGAAUUGACUUUGUGUUAGUGACCUAUGUACAUGUAUUGUGAAAUAUUUUCGAGUUCAUAUAGAAGUGAAUGUUUUAAUCGAGCAAAAUCUAGUGAUUGUACAACUAAAUUAAUAUUUCAUUUAAAAGAGAUAAAUACACGUUAUUGUGUUUUUUUAUUAAUUAAAUAUUUUGUAUUUUUUUGAUAUUUUUCUAAUAAACAAGAUUAACUAACCUAAUAAACUAAAAUAAUUUUAAAAGGAUAAUUAAAUGAAAAAACAUAAUGAAAGGGACAUGUUUUUGGUAUUUUUGAAUAUUGGUUAAGAAAAACUAGGUUAAAUGAAUUUACUAAAUAAACUAUUUUUUUUUGUAUUUUGAAUAAUGAUUAAGAAAAUAAAUCAACUAAAUGAAUUAAAUUAAAUUAUUAAAAUAUAAAAACCUAAAAGAGUGUAGUAAAAACAUGGAGAGGGUGUGAACUAUAAAAUAUGAUUAUCGCUUAGAUCAAACAUAAAGAGAUCAUCGUCGGAGACUGGUGCUUAGAUCAAACAUAAAUAGAUUGUCGCCUUCCCGAGAGUUGAUGCUUAGAUCAAACAUAAAGAGAUCGUCACCUUUCUGAGGAUCGAUGCUUAUAUCGAACAUAAAGAGAUUGUCGCCUUCCCGAGGAUCAGUGCUUUGAUCAAACAUAAAGAGAUUGUCGUCUUCCCGAAGGUCGGUGCUUAGAUCGAACAUAAAGAGAUCGUCGUUGGAGGCUAGUGCUUAGAUCGAACAUAAAGAGAUCGUCACCAGAGAUCGGUGCUUAGAUUUAACAUAAAGAGAUCGUCACUGAAGACCGGUGCUUAGAUCAAACAUAAGGAGAUCAUCACCUUCCCGGGGAUUGGUUCUUAGAUCAAACAUAAAGAGAUCACCAUCAGAAAUCAAUGUUUUGAUUAAUACAAGUCGUCACUAACUCGAAAGUCGAUGCUUAGACUUAAGGACAAAGAGAUCAUCUUUACCCUAAAGGUUGAUGCUUAGAUCAAAACAAUUCGUCACUAACUCAAAAGUUGGUGCUUAGACUAAGACAAGUCAUAGCCAACUCAAAAGUCAAUGCUUAGAAUAAGAUAAGUCAUUGCUAACUCGAAAGUCGGUUGUUAGACUAAGAUAAGUCAUCGCCAAGUCGAAAGUAAAUGCCUAGACUUAAUGAUGCAUUGAUCGCCUUCGACCUGAAGGUUGAUGCUUAAAUCAAGGUAAGGAGAUUUGUUGGGGGAUAUGAUAGGUCAAUACAUACUCACGAGUUAGCAUGGAUCAUUUAAGAAGAUUUUCUACUGGGGGAGAUUACAAAAAUGACUUACUAGGGAGCGAGCUUACUAGGGAGCAAAUUUCAAAAGAAGUCUAUGAGGAAAUUACUCACUGGGGAAACCAAUAAGCAUUCCUGCUUGGGGAAUUGUAAUAAUGUUAAAUGGGGAUUGGACUUCUGCGAGAGGUCAUAGAAACCUUAAUUAUGUUAUGUAUGCAUGCUUUAUGCGAAUGCAUGUCGAUGCAAGUGUUAAUGCAUGGUAUGUAGUUGGGGAUUGGACUUCUACGAGAGGUAACUAAAUCCUUGAUUAUGAUAUGAUAUGUAUUAAGUUGAUGCAUGUGGCAAUGCAUGAUAUGUUUUGGGCCGAUGCAUGUGUUAAUGCAUGAUGUGUUUUGGGUUGAUACAUGUGUAGGAUGAAAUGCACAUUUGGUGCAUAUAGUGUAAUGAUUGAUCAAUGCAUGUAAUGGGUUACUGGAUGUGCCCAAAUGGAAAUUGGAUUUUAAAGGGAAUAUGUCACGUAAGGCUUAGAUGAAAAAAAGCAAAGCAAGGUUGAAAUACAAAAUGUUGGUGAAUACUGGGCUUUGGUGUGCCAACGAGGGUUGGAUUUUUGAGAUGUACGCGUCAAGCGAAGUUGGACUUUAAAAGGUGAAAUGAAAGACGAGAACUGAAUUUGAAGGAUAGAUUACUAGACGAGAACUUGUUUUAAAAUGGGCUACCGGACAGGAACUGGUGAAAAAUAUUAAGUUGCCAGACGAGAACUGGUUUUUGUUUUCCAUACGAGAACUGGUUUUACAACCGGCCACCACACAGGAACUAGUUUUAAAAAACUAAUUGCCAUGCGGGAACUAGUUUUGAAAUAGACUUACCAGACGAGAACUGGUUUUGAUUUACUGUCAGAUGGAAACUGACUUUUAAAUAUGCUACCCGAUGGGAACUGGUGAAAGAGAUUAAGUCGCCAAACGGGAACUGGUGUUGUUUUUGGUUUAUCAUAUGGGAACUGACUUUUAAAAUAGGCUACCAAACUAUAACUAUUUUUGAAAAGCUAAUUGUCAUAGGAUUUAAAAAUAAUUGUCAGAUGAGAACUGGAUUAGGAAAUAAACACGAUUAGAUCGGCAAAUGAGUACUAGAUUUUGAAAUGGAAAUGAUUUGAUUGCCAUAUGGGUAUUGGACUUUAGGAUAAAGAAGAUUAAAUUUCUAGACGGGUACUGGAUUUGCAAAUCAAAUUUCCAUACGGGAAGUGAUUUUGACAGUCAGACGGGAACUGAGUUUAAAAAUAAUUGCCAGAUGGGAACUAGAUUUGAAAAUUUGUUACAAGACAUGAACUGGAUUUUAAACUAGAGGUUACCCAACGAAUACUGGACUUUAAUUGAUUACCAGACGAGAACAAGAUUUGACUUCCAGACGAGAACUAAACUUUAAAUGAUUACUGGAUUUAAAAUGAAUAAGUUUCGAGCGAGAAUCAGAUUCUGAAGAAGAAAAGGGUUUUGAACAUCUCCAAAUAAGUACUAGUCUUUGAGGGUGCCAAACAAUGUUGGACUUUGAUGGAUUUACAUAGUAUACUGCUGAUAAUAAACAAUCUUUAGGAAUGAGGGUGAGUGCCACACAUGACUCGUGCUAUGUAUGAUGAUUUUGAGAUUUGUUUUAUGCAUGAAGUCGGAUGAUUGAUAUGUGUUAGAAAUGCAUGAAGUGUGAUGAUUGAUCGAUGCAUACGGUAUAUUGAUUUUGUUCUAAAGGAGAUUUGGCUUCAAGGUAAGUUCCAAGUGGGACAGGUCUUUUGUGAGAUGCCCAGUAAUGUUGAGCUUUUGUAACGUGUCAGUCAAGGUUGGGCUUUUGAGAGGUGACAAACAAGAUUGGGAUUUGGGAUUUUUAGAUGUGUCAAGCGAGGUCGGGCUCUUGGCUUUUGAGGCGUCGAGUGAGGUCGAGCUAUUUUAUUGUAAAUGUUGAGUGCCAAGCAAGAUUGGACUUUUGUAAGGUGCCAAGAAAGAUUGGGAUUUUUUGAGGUGCCAAGCAAGAUUGGGAUUUUGUGAGGUGCCAAGCAAGAUUGGGCUUUUGACUUUUUAUGCUUGCGUUACAAGGCUUUUUGAUGACGACAAAUUCAUGCUAUGGGAAUAUGCCAGAUGAGUGAGAUGAUAUGCAUGAUUUGGUUCUAGAGUGAUGCAACAUAAUUGAUGCAUGAUGAUGUUUUAUACGAUGACUUGAAUGUUUCAACAAAUUCCAAUAUGGCGGGAAAUGGCCGAUUAAGAUUAAAAAGUAUUUUUUUAAUAAGGCUUCUUGUCAAAAGGUGUUAGGAUGUUGUGCUAGCAUGAUCUCCCGAAACUCGUCUUGAACUUGAUCGUUAAUGUAUGGUAGAUUUGCUUGAAUAACUUGAAAUUAUGGUGAGGAUGUGCCCUUCUGUAGCCUAUCUUCCACCAGUUUGUUGGGUAUUUGAAGAGAUUUGUCUCCAUACAAGUUUUAAAUUAGUCUUGCCAUAAGAUGACUUUGUGGUGAAUUUGCCCUAACAUUUUGAUUCUUGAAGCAAUAUGCCCUUGAUUAACCGACUCUUGAAGUGGUUGGCUUCAUUAUGCUCUUGAGGUGGCCUUCCCGAGUAGGAGCCUUGGAGAGAUUUGCCCCUGAUCGAACCAUUGCUGAAAUUUCCUCGGAGCUAAAUGCUAAUUUGCAAAUAAAUUUGUUCCUUACAAAUGGCAAUUCUAAUGCAAUACUUAUGCAACUUUUGAAAUUGAAAGUUGUUUAAUGAGACAACUUUGUGAUGUAUAGUGAAGGGAUCAAUAGUCUAAGGGUAAUGUUAACUUAGACGUUCAAAAUGUGAAAAUGGCGAUACCAUGACACAAAUGAAGAUGAUUCACGAAGAUCUUUGUAGUCGGGUUAAUACAAACUCGUUGUAGUAUGAUUUCAAAAUGAAUUUUGCUUAAAUUAAGUCUUUUAAGGGUUGUAACGUGGCAUGGUUCAUAAUUUUCAAAACAAAAGGAUAUAAGGCUCAAAUUUUUAAUUUUAACCCACACCAUUCUCUUUGAUGAUCUUCGGUCAUAUGCUCAGCUAAUUCGACACGUGCAUUCAAUGUUUCGAGAGGGUUUUGAAGGUAGAAAUGUGAUGGUUUGAAAACCAAUGAGGUUUUCUUGAAGUGGCAGUCACUCACUUUUGUUUAGUCAUGAAAUUUUGUUUUUGUCAAGAAUUUUGGUGACCUUUUGAUUCUUAAUAUGGUGAUCACCUAAUCUUGUCUUUUGUUUAGGAUUUUUGUGACAUUUUAAAACUUUUUUCUUUUUUCCUCUUUUUUAUCCCUAAUUUUUGCCUAAGUCAUUUUUUCAGGUUUUGACUUAGCGAACUUUUUUUAUUUUAUUUUGCUGAAAGAUUGUGACUAUUGUGUUAAUGGUAGGUGAGGAACAAGCAUUAUGGACAUUUAAUUUUUCACGAUCUCUUCAACAUCAACUAAUGUGUAUGGGGAAGAAGAUUUGGUUGAUCCUCAAAUAGGAUGUUUUUCUUUCGAAAUUCGAAUGCAUAGUCAAAUUAAUUGAAGACUACCCUGCCCCUAGUUAAGAUUAAAAGGGUUUUUUCGUACAGAAAGAAACACUAACUUCUAGACUCAAAUGGGUUGAAUAGGAAUUAAUUACUUAUAUAUUUAGUGUUUGGGGAUUUGAAACAAUGUCUUACAUCAUCAUCAAAGUUUUAUCCAAAAGCAUACUAUCAAAAGGUUUUGGGUAUUUUAUAUUCAUCAUCCCCCCCCCCCUCGAUCUUUGCUUGAACACCAAUAUUUGAUAAAGGAAAGUGAAUGGGAGAAGUAUUGACAUUGAUUUUCUCAUUUUUAUGAAAAAGGAAAGAAUGAAUAUGUGCACAUUGAAUAUGAAUGGGUUGAUUAAAAAAUGCAUGUUCAUUUCAUGUGUAUUACCGUUUAAAAAACAAGUUUGCAAGCAAGUCUCAUUUAUCAAACAAAGAAAUUAUAAACGAAAAUGAUAGCCUAAUGAUCAUCAAUGUUAAGGAAACUCUCCCAUGCUUGAUUUUUUGUUUGGUUGACCUUUUACCCACUCAAAGAUUGAGGUUGGUGUGUUUGUCAAGGCUGAGAAGGUGCUUUAAGUUUCAUCAUUAUUUGAUACCAAAUCCUCCAAGUUUCCUUCUUCUUCACACUUAUCUGACAUCAAAUUCUCAACUUUUGCCGCAUCCGGGAGAUUGUCAUUGAUUCUUCUUGUCUUUGGUUUUUUUUUGGAGCAAGCUCGUGUGCUGCAAUCUUUUUACCUUUUUUUUAAAUCCUUAACUUUUGCUUGGACCGCUCUUUCGAGUUUUCAAUCCGACGAGAUGAUAUUCUUUUUUGCCUAAGCCACCCAUUUGGGUUUUCGACUUAGCGGACUCAUUUUUGUUUACUCUCUUUUUUUAAGUAAUUUUUUUUACUACAUUGAGUUUACCAGAAGUGGAAAACCUUCUCCAUUCAUCGUUCUAGGAACCAAAGCUCCUCCAAAGAAGGAAUUUUCACGACGUAUGGGAAAGAUCUUCUUAAGAACUAGGUCACCUUCCUUGAAUUCUCGAGGACAAACAUUUUUGUCGAAUGCCUUUUUAAGCCUGUUUUGAUACCAGUGACAAUGACAUAAGGUUAUCACUUUUUACUUGCUUGGUCCCAUUGGCCCUUGAGGAUAAUGAAAAGAAAGACAAUUGAUAUCUCGUGGUUGAGGAGUGGUGUCAUGGUACCCCUCCCAUUUACAACCAGUCAUUCUAUAUUUUAUCUUUUUUCAUCAAAGAUUGAUGGUCCAUCAAAACCUCUCAUACUUUCUCAUUUAAUUUGCUAGCUUCGCGUUUCAAUGUUUCUUGUCUUAGCACAAAUUCCCCCAUGACUUGCAAGAAUGAGUUCAAUAUGAGCACGAAAUACCACUUGGCUUUUAUAUGGUAGAUGGCGACAUGGUAUGUCUUAGGUAUGAAUGAGAUUCAACAAAAGGAAUGUUAUAAAAUGAAAUACAAUAUCCUGAGAGUUUUUUUACUUUAAUGACUGCAAUGCAAUGCCAUGUGUAGGCUCAAUAAAUUUUAUAUUUGGAAUCGUAUGGGUAAUUACACAACAGAGAAACCUAUAUGGAAGGGCUCCUUACGAAAGGAUAGUUCUAAGUCUUUCUACCUAACCCCUCACAAGGUAUGCUAUAGGCUUUUGUUGGCAGUUUAAGAAUAAACCCAAGGUCACUAACCACAUAUGAAACCUCAUCACGAUAUCGAGCUUAGCUAAUUUGUGAUGAAAUCCCAAAGGGUGUCCCUUAGUCAGAGCCUUCGUAUAGACCUAGUAAGAUGCUCAUCUUAUAAGCCAUAUAAAGUCUCAACUUUCUCGUUCUAGAAGAGGUCCAUAUAAUCGUUGACCAAGUUCUAAGUUUCGUCACAAAGAUGGACUAGCCAACUCAUGAAGAAAGCUUUGAACUGAUAUAAUCUAGGUGGAGUUGUCGUAAAAAAUCUGUUGGGAUGUGCAUCCCAUUGGCCAAUACUAGACAACCCCUUACUUAAGCUUAUGUUUCUUCUCAAGCUCGGGUGUAGAGCUUAUUCUCAAACAAUAAUCCAAAAUCCACAAUAUUAUAUAAGAUACAAGAUAAAACUAAAGAAGAAAAAUAAAAAUUAAGCAAAAAACAAACAAAAUAAAUAAAACAAAGAAUAAAAUAAAAACAAGCAAACAAACCAACAACCUUAGAAUUAAAGGAUAUGUUUGAUUCUCUUUAGGGAGGUUUUUCCAACAGAGUCGCCACCAGUCUCGACGCGAAAAAAGUUUGAGAGUCUAAACGCUCGAAAUAGACAUAGUGUCGCCAACAAAAAAAUUAUUUAAAGGGAAACAUCGAUAAAACCCUUAAAGGAAGAAAACAUGAUCAUUGCAACCAGUUAAGGGUUUGGGAGUCAGUUAUGCGAGAGGAAGAUAUUAACAUUUCUCAUAGUCGUUGUACUCAACGGGAACCUCAUAAUAGGCUAAUGUUAAGUGUUAUUAAGAAAAUGUUUGCAGUUGUUUUGUUUAUUUAUUAAAAUGGAAAUUUUCAAAAGAUUUAAAGAAGGAAAAUGUUAGUUUUCUAUUAUUGCACUCGCCAGGGUUUUAAAACUCCGUACUUACGUAUUCCUAAAUUGCAAUGAAAAAGUUAGAGCUUCUUAAUUCGUGUAAAAAUGUUUGUGGGUUGGUUGAUUUUAGAGAAUAAUGUUAGAUCUCAUUUUAGUGGUAAAAUGUCUGACUAUAUGCUCGCACAAUGAAGGCUUAGACAUUGUUUUUAUUCGCGUUAAAUGCAUCAGACUAUUCUUUUAUGAAAAAGUUUAGUUGAAGUGCGUACGGGAAAAACAAUAACUUGAUGGGUUAAGAUGAAUUUUAGGUGUGAAAAAAUAAGUUUUUGUUUUUUAUCUUUGAAAUUGACUUUGUGUUAGUGACCUAUGUACAUGUAUUGUGAAAUAUUUACGAGUUUAUAUACAAGUGAAUAUUUUAAUCGGGCAAAAUCUAGAGACUGUACAUCUAAAUAUUUUAUGCUUUUGUGUUUUAAUCGAGUUUAUAUACAAGUGAAUAUUUACGAUUUUUUUUAAAAUAACCAAAAAUUUCAAAAUAAAUUCCAAAAUAACCAUUUAAAAAAAAUCCAAUUUAACCACCUUUAAAAACAGAUGCGUCAGAUGAAAUGGUGCAUCCAUUUUCCAUCAAGAGGAGGCGCCUGCGUUGGAAGACCCAUAAGGAGGCGCCAAUGCCUAUGGCGCCUGCAUUGUGCCUCAUGAAGAGGCGUCAAUGCUUAUGGCGCCUGCUUAUUGCAUGUGGUGUAUGUGCGAAUUCAUCUAGCGCAUACACCGUUGUAUUAAUUUUUUAAACUUUUUUAAACUUUUAAUUUUUUUAUUAUUAUUUAUAAAAUAAUAAAAAAUAAUGUAAUUUUAUUUAUUUAUGAUAUAAUAAAUGUUACAUGGGAUUGACAAAAAUGUAAUGGUCGGCCCGAUCGAACGUCCCCUUGUUCCACAUCCAGGUGUGUUAGUUUGUCUUUGAGGUCUCCCACGAUUUUCCUGAGGUGUUUGGGGUCUUUGUGUGCUGACCUGAUCGAAUGAUGGUUGGUGUGAAGUUUCGGCGGAAGUUCCAGCGGUAUUUGACAGAUGUUCAUCAUUUGUUCCCAAUAUCCGGGAGGCUCUAGCCAACGACACUUCCGUAAUGGAGUUCGGUGCCCAUGUCAUCGUAGUUAGGUCGAUGGGGUUGGGUGGAUUGUGGACGAUAUAGUUGCCCAAAUUGGGACAUUGAAUUAUUUUGGAAAUAAAGCAAUGGUUCCUGGGGCGUACUAUAGUUAAAUAAUGGUUGUGUGUUUUGGUGAUGGGAUGUUUGAGGGUCAUUGGUGGGGGGCUAUGAUGAAGUGGCACAUAUGAAUCAUCUGGGCUAUAGAUUGUUAUGGUUAAAGUGUAUGGUUGUUGGUAGGUAGGGUUUGAUUCUUGGUUUUGUGGUUGGGUGGGUGGCAUGAAUGGAUUGCGACGUUGGGUGUUUGGUUGUUGGGUGGAUGACAUGAAUGGGUUGCGAAGUUGGGUGUUUGGUUGUUAGAUGUAUGUGAUAGGUUGUUGGUGUGAGGUUGGUUGUUGGGUUUGGAUGGUUUGACAUUGGUGUUGGACAGGGACUUGCUGUUGGGCGUACGAUGACGAAACUAGUUGGCAUGGAUCUAUCAAAUACUAAGGUUCGGACACAAAUUGUUGUGUUGUUACCGACCUAAACCAUGCCAUAUAUUGUUGAGUUGGUCUUGCAUCAUGGAUGACUGGUUCGUUUAAGAUGUGUUAUCGUCGAUUCCUCCAUUGACGACACAUCUCUUUUGCAAAGUCUCUCAAGUCGGAAUAGUCUCAUUGGGCAUCAACUAUUUUUUAAUGUCAAUUCCCCAAACACGUCGGAGGUUCUGGAAUCUGUUGUUGCAUGCCGAAUUGCAGUUUUACCCGGCCACUCUAGUGCAUUUCCACAAUAGUGAACCGGAUAAUUGGUGUCUUUGCUGUCCAAAUUGCAGCAUCGUCAUGGUUCACAUAAUGAUCAAGACCCAGAUAUGACCUCCAGAUAAACUGUACAACAAUACGACACGAUUAGAUGAUAAAUAAUUUGAUAAGUAUUUUUAAAUUAAAAUAUAGUUGUGUAGGAGUAUUACAUCGUCUGGUCCAAUGUGGUCCAAUAGAUUGCGAUAAACUACUAUAGCGUGUUUCAGACACCUAUUGUAGUUCAUCCCCCUUACUGACCACCUAGUUUAAAAAAUCGAAAAAUAUUAUUUACAGUUAAUUGUAAUAUAAAGUAUAAUUAAUUAAAUGGUAAAGUGUUACACUUACUUUGUUGUAAGCGGGAACAUGAAUGGGUUCUCGUUUAUCAGGGCGAGUGACGACAUUCUUGACCAACCCCAUGCUUGUAGCAAAUACGCACAUGGAAAAAACGUACAAGUAUUCUUUUUUGAAUUUUUACACAUUGCACUAUAUAGAUGGGUCAACACAGUUGAACCCCAACUAUAUCUGCUUACCUUAUUAAUGUUGCGUAACAACGGCAAAUACAUAAUAUAUACCGAAUUACCUAUACUUUCUGGAAAUAAAAAAUUACCAAAUAAAAUCAUAUUAUAACACCGAGCUUUAAUUAUUUUUCCGUACUCGAUUGAUUCUUCAGAUAAUAUUAUAGUCGCAUAAUAUUCUUUAAGGUAUUUUAAAUUUAUACCUUGCCCCCUUGCUUGACCGGAUGACUAUCCCUCAGUUUGGUCGUCACCCAAAGAGGUACCCAAUAAUUCAUUGCAGAUAGAGUUGUCUUGGUUUACUCUACCAUUCACGGCCUUACCAUAUUUACGUAGAUCCAACAACAUGUAUACGUCCUCAAGUGUGACAAUACACUCACCGGAAGGAAGGUGAAAUGUGUGGGUCUCGGGUCUCCAUCUCUCCAACAAAGCAAGAAUGAAUUUGUAGUCCACCGAGUACGAGACUAUGUUGAUGAGAUUUCCAAAUCCACAUCCUCUAAUAUAUGGUUCUAUCAAAGGAUCGUGGGGUACAUAUUCAUGUACAAGGUGUCGAAAACGCUUUGGGUCCUAAUAACACAUAAGUAAGAAAUACAAUAAGAAGAAGUAAUAUAUAAUACAAACAUAGAUAACAAAGGUAUACGAAUUAAAUAUGGAAUAAGUAAAAAGAGGGUGAUAACAUACAAUUGUCGAGAUAUUCUCGAGUGUUCAUCUGUGUUCAUUAUCCAUAGUCAACAAACAUAUAAUUUGAUGUUGUAGAGAUUGAGUGUGGCAAAGGAAGAGUGUGGUAAAGAAAGAGUGUAAAUGAUUAGUGUUGGAGAUGAUUUGAUGUUGUGAUUUGAAGCCUAUUUAUAGACGAGGGAGUCUUACUAGGUUUGCAACCUACGCAGCAUGUGAUUGGUUGCAUGCAUGGAAAAGUGUAGAGUAGCCAUAGCCUUAGGCACAUGCAUGUGAAUAUCCACAUGUAAGGAAAAGGUGCCCAUGGUCUUGGCGCAAUGAAGAGGCGCCCUUGGUCUUGGCGCCUAGGAGUCUUUUUCAUGAAGGGGCGCCCAUGGUCUUGGUGCAUAGGUUGCUUUAUGUGCCUAGGGAAUGGGCGCCUGUUUGGACUAUUAGGGCAGAGAUUCUCUUGUGAGAUUCCUUGUAUGCAGAGAUUCCUUGGGCGCAUGCAUUGUGUGUUCUUGUCACUGCAUGCAUUCCUUGUGUGUUCUUGUCUCUGCAUGGUCAAGUAUGUGCAGAUGAAUUGCAUGAUCAAUGCAUUCAACAUUUACGUUAUUUAAGUGCAUUUAAAUAACAUGUCAAUGCAUUCAAUUUCAGUAUAGAAAGUAAAGUUAGAUUUUAAAAAAUGUCUUCCUUACAACAUUACAUAAUCAGUGCCCAUAUCGAAGGUGAAAUAUUUGAGCAUCAAUUAUUCGGAUUUUGUUUUCGCAACAUAGAGGUAACUCGGUUUACAAUAAAUCGACGAUCAAAUUUUUCACAUCUGAAACAAAGAAUAGAAAAGAAAUUGCAGUGCAGUCCUGUUGGCUAAAUCAUCUGUAAAAACCCGGUUUGGUUUGCAGAAAACCAGGUGAAGUUUUAUUAGAAGAAGAUUCGAGAUGAUGACGAUGUUCAACAUAUGUUUCCCAGUCACGAACAAUCUGGGUACAACGAUAUAGAGUUGUAUAUAUUACCACAACAAAACAAGUGUCUCAGUUCAUUGAUCAGUCACAAGUAUUUUGUGAAACUGAUGACGAACAAGCUAAGGUGAAUGUUGCAGAUGACGAAGAGGAAGAAGUCGAGAUCUUGGUUGAUUCAAUGGUGAACACUGAUGAGGAAGAGAAGCAAUUACCAGCUAGUCAUGUAUAUUGUCCGCCUUAACACAUGACAAGAUUGAAUUUGGGUUCCGAUGAACCUUCAUCAGAUAUAUGGUACAAUCCUUAUGUGCAAAUACAAGGAUCUUUGAAACAAGGAGACACAUUUCGCACAAAAUAGGAUUGUGUAAAAGCCAUUAAAAAAUUUAACAUGGAACUAUCAGAUGAUUUCAGAUUUGAUAGAACUAAUGCAUUGAGGUACAAAAUUUAUUGUUCGAAUGAGCACUGCCUUUUCAGGUUGUCAACUUCGUACCGAAAGAGGAGCGAUUCUUGGGAGAUUGGAUUCAUGAGUCCAGUUCACACAUGCAUGAUGACAAACCAAUGCAAGAUCAUCGAAAACUAAGCUCACAACUAAUAUGCGAUGAAAUAUUAUCUGUUAUUGGUGACAAUCUGUCGUUAAAGGUGAGUAUAAUAAUCUCGCAUAUUAGGGCAGAGUACCAGUACAUUCCAUCAUAUAUGAAGGCAUGGAUAGCUAGGACAAAGGUUGUUGAAAAAGUGUUUGGCAAUUGGGAGGAGUCUUACAAAAAAAUUCCAAAAUACUUGUUGGCUCUAAAAUAAUAUGCUUCAGGGACUAUUAUCAAGUUGGAAACGUUGCCCGCAUAUAGACAAGACGGGACAUGUGCUAUUGGAAAUGGAAUAUUCUACCGUCUCUUCCGGGUGUAUCAACCAUACAUCAUAGGUUUUUCUUUCUGUAAACCUAUUAAACAAAUUGAUGGUACAUGGUUAUAUGGGAAAUACAAAGGAACGUUACUAAUGACAGUGACACAAGAUGGCAACAACAACAUUUUUCCAAUCGCCUUUUCCCUUGUUGAAGGGGAUACUGCUGAGGGAUGAAGUUUUUUCCUAAGAAAUCUCCGAUUGCAUGUUGCACCGUAACCUAACUUAUGUUUGAUCUCCGACAUACACCCUUCAAUCGUCAGUGCAUAUAAUAACAUUGAUAAUGGUUGGCAACAUCCUCCUUCGACGCAUAUCUUUUGUAUUAGACAUAUUGCUCAUAAUUUCAUGCGGGAAAUCAAAGACAGGACGUUGCGGAAGAAGGUUGUCAACGCAGGUUACGCAUUAUCAGAACCUUCUUUCAAACACUACCGCGAAGAAAUAAGAUUGUCAAACACAGAUGCAGUACGGUGGAUCGAUAGUAUUCCAUUAGAGAAGUGGACUAGGGCAUACGACAACAAUCAACAUUGGGGCCACAUGACAACAAAUCUUAUGGAAUAAAUGAACUUCGUCUUCAAAGACAUUCGUAACCUACCUAUAACCACUUUGGUGCAGGCAACAUAUUUAAAGCUAGGGGCGCUAUUUGAGAUCAGACGUUCCAAAUGCAGUUCAGUGUUGUAAUCUGGACAGUUGUUCAGUGAUGCUUCAAUGAAAUUUAUUAGACAUGAACCUGCCAAAGCAAACACACAUGUGGUCACGGUGUUUGACUCCACUAAAGGUUGGUACAGUGUUGUCGAGUCCAUGGAUCACAAUGAGGGCAUGCCGAUGGGACAAUACAGAGUCGAACUCGAUAGAGGUUGGUGCGACUGCGGAAAGGUCCAAGCCUUUCGUACGCCCUGCUCCCAUGUCAUUGCGGCAUGUUCAAAGGUUUGAAGGGAUCCAUCCUACUUGCUAUCUGACAUUUACAAAGUCAUCAGCCUAUCAAAUGUUUAUAAAAUUAGUUUUUCCGUAGUAGAAAAAGAGGAUUACUGGCCAAAAUAUCAAGGGGACAUCGUCUAGCACAACGAAGUUAUGCGAAGGAAGAAAAAGGGUCGCUCAAACAGCACCCGCAUUCGAACCGAAAUGAAUACGAUGAACAAAACGGUUAGAUUAUGUAGUUCAUGCCGCCAGCCAGGUCACAAUCAUACUAACUGUCCUAGUGUUGGAACAAACACAACCAGAUAAAUUUACAUGUACCUCUGUUGCAAUAUAUGAAAAACUAAAUUUACUUCAUAUUAUAAGUUUGUGAGGAAAAUAUCAUUACAUAAAUAAUAACACAAACAAUUAAAAUAACUACAAUACAAUAACUAUGCGAUUACAACCAUCAAAACAAUUUUGAACAUGUAAUACAUCAUCCUAUGAACGUCUCGGUCAGUCUUAAUAUCCACCCAUUCACGCACUUCUCCGUUUUGGUUGAACGUGGACACAAGCCAUUAGAUUCUUCUAAUCCAUUCACCAUCUCCAAUUUCUCCAUCUAACCAACUAUUUAAUGUCCGAUUAAGACGUUCAAACGAAUCAAUAUUCCAGAGUUGAAUCAUUAUCAGAGACGCAACUGCGGAAAAUAUUGAAUCGGCAUUUUACUUGUGAAUGUAUUCAGACAUGGUUAAAACUCAAAAAAUUGAAGGAGAAACCUUGAAGGAGAGUGGAGUUGAAUGAAAGAAAAUAUGGUAGUAAGGAAAGAUUUUGUGCGAAAAAUAUUGCAUGGUGAUGUAUUUAUACAUAGGAGAUAGAAAAUACAUGCGCCAAGAGGCUAGGCGCCUAACAUGUCAAGACAUGUAGGCGCCAUAUGCAUUGGCGCCUCCUCAUGAGGCUUCCAAUGCAGGCGCCUCCUCUUGAUGGAAAAUGGAUGCGCCAGUUCAUCUGGCGCAUCUAUUUUUAAAGGUGGUUAUUUUGGAUUUUUUUUGAAAAUUGUGGUUAUUUUAAAAAAAAACAAUAUUUUAACUUAAAAGAGACAAAUACAUGUUUUUGUGUUUUUUGAUUAAUUAAAUAUUUUAUAUUUUUUAAAAUAUUUUUCUAAUAAACAAGAUUAACUAAUUUAAUAAACUAAGAAUUUUAAAAAGACUAAUUAAAUAGAAGAACCUAAUGAAAGGGACGUGUUUUUGGUAUUUUUGAAUACUGGUUAAGAAAAAUUAGUUUAAAUGAAUUUAUUAAAUAAUUUUUUUUGUAUGUUUUGAAUAAUGAUUAAGAAAAUAAAUCAACCAAAUGAAUUAAAUUAAAUUAUUAAAAUAAAAAAAUCUAAAGGAUGUAGUAUAAACAUGAAGAUGAUGUGGAUCAUAAAAAAUGAGGGUCCAAGUCCAUCAUAAAAUCUAAUUCUAAUUUUGACCUUACAUAAUUAAAUAUUAAAUCAAAAUAAUAAAAGAUAAUAAAAAGCAAAAAAAAGAGAAAAAAAUAAUGUUGUAAUAUGAUAGAGGUUUGAAUAUUUUUGAUGUAAAUGUUUAGACUUGUUGAUGAUUAGUUUGGAUUGAAAUUUGAAUAUGAUUAUGUAUUUGAAUUAGUGUUGGAGAUGUGUGGUGAAGUGAGAAGAUGAUACUUAAUCACAUUAUUUUUUAUUGUAAUUGUGGUUCUUUUUUUUUAUAAAAUUAUUCAUAUAAUUUUUAAUAACAAUCAAAAUGGAGUAUUUAAGACAAAAAAAUGGACUAAAUGAAUUAAAUUAAAUAAACCAAAGAAAAUAAGAAUUAAAAAAACAUGUAAAGACAACAAGUAAAAUUCAAGUUUGUAAAUAUGGAAUAUGCGAUCGAAUCAAAACUCAAACAACUAAAACUCGAACUUACGUCAAACACAAUAUUUAAGAGGUAUAAAGGAAUACGGAGUUAUCAACCUGGGGUGUCGUGACUAAUGCAGGCUGCUUCCUUCCUUUUUUUCUUCGCUUCCCUCUUCGGUGCGAGAUUUUACUUUUAUCUGGAUUGAUGAGGCUUAGGGUUUAGGUGUUGAUUUUCUUAAAUGUGAGGAAAAUCAACUUAGGGUUUCUGUAUGUGAUUUCUCUAUGAAUUGUGGAUGGGAAAAAUGUGUAGAAACUAAUGUCUAUUUAUAAUGUGAAAAAACUAUGUUAAAAGACAAAAAAGAAAAAAAAAUCAAAUAAUAUCAGAAGACUUAACAUUAUCCUAUCAGGAGGUUCCCGUUGAAUACAACGGAUGUGAGGGGUGCUAAUAUUUUCCUCUCACAUUAUUGACUUCUGAAUCCUCAAUUGGUUACAAUGAUAAUAUUUUCUUCCUUUCAGGAUUUUAUCGACAUUUUACUUCAAAUAAAAAAUUUGGUGGAGACUCUAUGUCUACUUCGAGCGUUUAGACGCUCGGGUAUUUUUCACGUUGCGACAAGAAGAAACAUGUAUAAAAAAGAAUUAUGAUGUAAUAUCAAAUUUUGCAUCCACUUGUUGAUCGUAUUUAUAAAUAUAUAUUAUUUCAUUUUCCCAAUGACUUUAAUCGUGUGAAGUAUGUUAGUAUUGAUAAUUGUAGUUGUAGUUCCACUAUUAUGAUGACUUGUGACCUACCUUAUACACGUGAACCACCACAAAGUGUUCACCAUCUAACAAAGUAAAAAUAAAGGUACAUCAAAAAAAUAAAAGAAAAAAAGUGUCCAAGAGAGGAAAAAUUACUAAUGGAAUUCAUCAUAGUGGGGACAUGUAGAUUCUACUAUUUAAUCUCAUACAUUAACCCAAAAACGUACGCCUCAAAAAUGAAUUCAAAAACUUACAUCUUGACCAUCAGUGUAUAUUCUUACACCUCAACCUUUAAUCGAUAUGGUUGAUCGACCUAUAAUAUUAUACUUUAUGAGUUAAUUACAUAAAGUAAUCAAACAUUUCAUAGGCAAUGUUAUGAAUAUAAACCAAGAUACUUAUUAUGGGUAUUGUAUUGUUAGGGCUUUUAUUAAUAUAGGUGAAUAUAUGGCUUUUAUUGUGUCAAGAAAAUGUAAUAUGGUUUCGAGAGUGAAUGGAAGAAUAUGCAAGGAUGUUAUUUAUUGAAGAUAAUAUUCAAAAUAUGAUUAAGAGAUUAUAUGUUGAUAAAUAUGCAUCUAGGGAUGAUUGAAUGAGAUCGCAUGCACCAGGAUAUACGAUUGCUUUUAAGUACAAUGUCACCAUAGUCACAUUGUUUGUGUCAAUUAUUUUUUUCGUUUUAGAAUUCUAUUUUCAUUUGGUCUCAUUGUAAGUUUUUUCAUUAAUUUUUGUCACUAGUUACAAGUUCUUAGUUUGUUUCAUUUUAAUUAUUUCAUUAUAGUUGUUUAUAUUAAUAAGUUAGUUAAAUCUAUAAAUUUUAUCUAUUUUAGCAUAUUCAUUUAAAUCCUAAUGUUUGUUUGUUACAAUUUUAUCUAUUGUAGCAUGUUUGUUUGUUACAAUUUUAUCUAUUUUAGCAUGUUUGUUUGAGUAUCCUAAUAUUUAACCUUAAAUACUCAAACAAACAUUUAAAACUGUAACAAACUAUAUACUUUUUUUUACAAAUAACCAAAAAAAAAAAUAGUAAGUUUUGUAUUUUAUGAAUAAAAGAGUUGAAAAUUUGUAAUAUUAAUGAUAGACUAAUUUGCAUAAUCUAGUUAAGUUUACGUUUUCUACAUGAAUUAAGAUUGUGUAUACCAUUUUGAAAAGAGAAAAAAGUCUUAGAAUUGAAAAAUAUGACUUUUCUACUCCGAAUAAAACUCACAAUCAACAUAAUCUAAGAUAAUAAAUAAAACGAAGUAUAAAAAAUGCAUACGUUCAACUAAGAUCUUGAAAAUGAUAAUAAAGGUAAAUUGUUACUUUCAAAUUGAAAAAUGUAACCCAUAAGUUGCACAAAUGAGAUGAGAUAAAGGAAAUUGAAAUUUGAUUCGUCUUAAUUUUACACAUGAGAGAAAAGGGAAAUAAUAAGGAGAGAAUAUGAGAGUGAGGAUUUUGAAACUGAGAGAAAAUUAAAACCAAAUACUUACUUGGAUGACUCUAAAAGUAAACUUGUUUUAGAAUAUGAGAGUGAAUGGAGAAUGUGAGAAUGUGAGAAUGAUGAAAGAGUUAGAGUUUUACUCCAACAAAUGGUAUCAUAACUCUUGUUUAGCUUAGUGGAGUGGGAGUGAAAUCCUUGUAUUUGGAUAAAGUUUAUGUUAUGAUAAACUUACCAUUGAUUGAGAUAUUUUUAGAUUAAAGUUUGGGUGAUAAAUCUCACAAUGACGAAGAAUAUGAAAAAUAUUUGAUAUAUAAAAUAGGUGGCAUAUACAUCUAUUGUCUAAAUAUUUUUAGUGGACAUCUCUUUAUUGUUGUCCUAAAAUAUUGACUCAUUGUUGCUUUUAACAUUUUAUCGAACUUCAUAACAAUUGGUAUCAAAUAUUUUCGUUUUAUCCAAGGAUAAUAGUUCUUGGUAUGCUUUAUUGUUGCACGUUGAGUGAUAUUUCAUAUUUGAAAAGAAGGAAUAUACUACAAAAGUUUUAUGUUAGAAAGGUUUUGGUUGGAAAAUAUAUGAUACUUAAGUGUGUCCAAUGUGACUCCACUUUAUUAUCAUAUGGUUUAAGUAUGAAUUCAAGUGUAAUCCCAAAUUUCUUCUUAAAGUGUGGGGUAGAGAAAAUUCAUGAAAGGAUAAUUUUUUACUUGUGUGUUGGUACAAGUAAAAUUACACAAUGUAUUUAUUAGUACGUCUAUAUUGAUCGAUGUUCAUGUAAGAUGUGUUGUGAGAUUAGGUCGGUGGUUGAGCCUCAUUUUCCACAUGUGGAAACUCUUGGAUUGGUUUAGCUUCAAGUGAUGUAUACUCUAAUAGUGAAAUUGAAUAAUUUAUUUUUGGCCUAUGGUUAUGGGUGAAGACAAUGCCUAAUUGAUCAGGGUGAUUUACCUUAAUGUGAAGUAUACUAUUUAUAGUGAAGUAUGAUAAUUUUACUGAAAUAUGACUACACAUGUAGACAAUGAAAACAAAUGUUAAUUUUCAAUCAAGGUGAAGAUUGUUGGUGUUAAUUGAAAUAAUACAUGUUAAAGAAGUACAAUAAUUAGUAUUAUAGAGGUAGAGAGUGAGAAAGCUGGAAUAUAUGCUAUCGCAUUUACAAAAUCAUCAGCCUAUAAAAUGUUAUAAAUAUUAGUUUUUCCGUAGUAGAAAAAGAGAUUACUGGCCAAAAUAUCAAGGGACAUCGUCUGCACAACGAGAGUUAGCGGAAGAAGAAAAAGGGUCGCUCAAACAGCACCCGCAUUCGAACCGAAAUGAAUACGAUGAACAAAAACGUUAGAUUAUUGUAGUUCAUGCGCCAGCCGGUCACAAUCAUACUAACUGUCCAGUGUUGAACAAACACAACCAGAUAAAUUUACAUGUACUCUCGUUGCAAUAUAUGAAAAACUAAAUUUACUUCAUAUUAUAAGUUUGUGAGGGAAUAUCAUUACAUAAAUAAUAACACAACAAUAAAAUAACUACAAUACAUAACUACGCGAUUACAACCAUCAAACAAUUUGAACGGUAUACAUCAUCCUAUGACGUCUCGGUCAGUCUUAAUAUCCACCCAUUCACGCACUCUCCGUUUUGGUGAACGUGGGCACAAGCCAUUAAGAUUCUCUAAUCCAUUCACCAUCUCCAAUUUCUCCAUCUAACCAACUAUUUAAUGUCCGAUUAAGACGUUCAAACGAGAUCAUAUUCCAGAGUGAGAUCAUUAUCGAGACGCCAACUGCGAGGGAAUAUUGAAUCGGCUUUUACUUGUGAAUGUAUUCAGACAUGGUUAAAUCUCAAAAAAUUGAAAGAGAACUUGAAGGAGAGUGGAGUGAAUGAAAGAAAUAUGGUAGUAAGAAAAGAUUUUGUGCGAAAAUAUAUGCUAUGGUGAUGUAUUUAUACAUAGGAAAUAGAAAAUACACUCGCGCAAGAGGCUAGCGCCUAACAUGUCAAGACAUGUAGGCGCCAUAUGCAUUCGGGCGCCUCCUCAUGAGGCCUCAAUGCAGGCGCCUCCUCUUGAUGGAAAAUGGAUCGCCAGUUCAUCUGGCCGCAUCUAUUUUUAAAGGUGGUUAUUUUGGAAUUUUUGAAAAUUGUGGUUAUUUAAAAAAAACAACAUUUUAACUUAAAAGGACAAAUACAUAUGUGUGUUUUGAUUAAUUAAAUAUUUUAUAUUUUUUAAAAUAUCUAUAAACAUAAUUAACUUUAAUAAACUAAGAAUUUUAAAAGACUAAUUAAAUAAAGACCUAUGAAAGGGACGUGGUUUUGGUAUUUUUGAAUACUGUUAAGAAAAAUUAGUUAUUAAUGAAUUUAUUAAAUAAUUUUGUAUGUUUUGAAUAAUGAUAUAGAAAAUAAUACAACAUGAAUUAAAUUAAAUUAUUAAAUAAAAAAAUCUAAGGAAUGUAGUAUAAACAUGAAAUGAAUGUGGAUCAUAAAAAAUGAGGUCCAAGUCCAUAUAAAAUCUAAUUCUAAUUUUGACCUUACAUAAUUAAAUAUUAAAUCAAAAUAAUAAAGGAUAAUAAAAGCAAAAAAAGAGAAAAAAUAAUGUGUAUAUGAUAGAGGUUGAAUAUUUUUGAUGUAAAUGUUUAGACUUGUUGAUGAUUAGUUUGGAUUGAAAUUUGAAUAUGAUUAUGUAUUUGAAUUAGUGUUGGAGAUGUGUGGUGAAGUGAGAAGAUGGUAUACUAAUCACAUUAUUUUUAUUGUAAUUUGUGUUUUUUUUUAUAAAAUUAUCAUAUAAUUCUAUAACAAUCAAAAUGGAGUAUUUAAGACAAAAUGGACUAAAUGAAUUAAAUUAAAUAAACCAAAGAAAUAAGAAUUAAAAAACAUGUAAGACAACAAGUAAAAUUCAAGUUUGUAAAUAUGGAAUAUCGAUCGAAUCAAAACUCAAACAACUAAAACUCGAACUUACGUCAAACACAAUUAUUAAGAAGGUAUAAAGGAAUAGCGAGUUAUCAACGUGGGUGUCUGACUAAUGCAGGCUGUUCUUCCUUUUCUUCGCUUCCCUCUUCGGUGAGAUUUUACUUUUAUCUGGAUAUAGAGCUUAGGGUUUAGGUGUUGAUUUUCUUAAAUUGAGGAAAAUCAACUUAGGUUUCUGUAUUGUGAUUUCUCUAUGAAUUGUGGAUGGAAAUGUUGUAGAAACUAAUGUCUAUUUUAAUGUGAAAAAACUAUGUUAAAGACAAAAAAGAAAAAAAAUCAAAAUAAAUCAGAGACUUAACAUUAUCCUAUCAGGAGGUUCCCGUUGAAUACAACGGAUGUGAGGGGUUCUAUAUUUCCUCUCACAUUAUAUGACUUCUGAAUCCUCAAUUGGUUACAAUGAUAAAUUCUUCCUUUCAGGAUUUAUCGACAUUUUACUUCAAAUAAAAAUUUGGUGGAGACUCUAUGUCUACUUCGAGCGUUUAGACGCUCGGGAUAUUUUCACGUUGCAGCAAGAAGAAACAAUGUAUAUAAAAAGAAUUAUGAUGUAAA